rnacentral:lncRNA from 1 species
AAAUUAAUUUUGUGGUAGGAAUGCCUCUGUUUAAACUUACUGGUUUGUUUGUUUGAUUGUUUGUUUUUGGUUUUGUUUUGUUUUUUUUAACCUUAGAUCAUCUUAUGGGGAAGUUGUAAUUAAAUAUAAAUAAAGUUAUAUUUAUCAAUUCAUCUUGCUACAAACUAGGAAUUACACUAUAAACCUUUAGGAGAGUCUCAGUGUAACAGGUUACACUAUGGAAAUGCCUGUGCGUAUUAUAAUCAAUUGCAAAUCUGCAAUAGAUAAGAACUUCUCUGUUCACUGGCUGGAGUUCUCAAUGCCUUGAAGAUUUGAAACAUUUUCCUUAUAUCCUGAUUGUCCACAAUAUAGUCUGGGGCUGAAAAGCAGUCAGCAAUUUAAUCUAUACUAGCUCUGGGGCAGAAAAACAGUCUAUUAAGCAACCUGAAUGACUCUUUUUGUCAUUGUUAUUUUAUUUGUAUUUCGUGGUGAAAACAAAUGAAGAUUCCAUGUCCAUACUUACUAACGAAUGUCAAUAUUUUACAGGGCAGGUUUUGUUUACAAAUAGUAUGUUUAGGCGGAGAUGACUAAUCCUACAAACCCGAGGAGAGACUCAUCAGGUUACCAUACGCCUAGCCCCAAGGACUAGAUUACAGCCAGUAGGUGUGUCUGGUGGCCAACCUUGACCUGUCAUUUGCAUAUAAGAGAAGAAGCCGGCCUCCUGCAGCUGGCUCUUGGUUAGGUAGUAGAAACCUAGUCAAGCAGAGUUUGCAUGGUUCCCACUCAGAGUUCACAGUCUAACUGGGGUUAAUAGAUAUUAAUUAAUUAUAAUACAACAGUAGUCCUAAUACGAGGCAAGAAUCAGUGUGAGCCUCAGAUGGUGUGAAGUUAUCUAAAGACUAAGGUCAAGGGACGGUUCCUGACAGAGUGAUCCUCGAGCCCAGAUCUGAGAAGGAGUUUAAAUGAACUCCCCAGACAGCUAUGACCACACUGGCAUGCCUUGCCCUUGGGCCAGUAGCCAGAUAGCUGGCCAACACAAGAGCUGCCAAGCUGCAGUCAUAGAAACUCAUGGAAACAAGUCACCUGCUGCCCACCACCCUCUGAACGAAUGGUGGUACUUCGCUUCUGCCAGGGCUGCACCAGACUCCAGGGAAGGCACUGUGGCCCUUGUGUUCCGUGGCUGUUAAGCCUCAGGAUUUUGGAAGCAUUAGGUCCAGUGCUGGUGUGAAACAGUGAGCAGGGACCCAGUACCAGUGCAAGCUGGCAGGGCCUUCUCGCAGUGUUCAUUGCUUGGACAGUUACUAGCUCUUCCAGAGACAUUACUGACUGCCAUUCUGUGCAGUCCAGGAGCUGGGGCCCAAACCUUGAGGGUAAUCAUAAAUGAUAGUCCCUGGGGGGCUGCAGCCCAUUUCCACAGUGCAUUGCCACAGGCUAGCCCCUUUCGUAGGAAUCUAGCCUGAGAUGGUCAGGGUGAGUCCUUCCUCUUAAAACAGUAAACACAAGCCUUUGGCAGGGAGGAGUCGUGAGCUUUGGGGGUCCCUUUUGCUGUGACUGCUGUUUAUCCCUAGGGAAAACUUACUGUGCCGUGACAAGGUUAAAAGAGCAGGCAGUCAUUUGGGAUGUUAAUGACUUCUUAUUUAUUUAUUUAUUUAUUUAUUUAUUUAUGAGCUGCUUAUUAUACUUAUCAAAAAAAAAAACGAUCUCAGCAUUUUACACUCUUCCUUCAUAUAAUCGUCUAAAUGAAAGUGAAAGUACUGAAUUAUCAUAUGUAAUG